ANCGGCAAAAGCUCAAAUUUGAAAUCGGCCACCAGGUCGAGUUGUAAUUUGUAGAUUGUAUCUUGAGAGCGGAUUAAAGUCUGUUGGAACACAGCGCCUUAGAGGGUGACAGCCCCGUAAAAUCUAUUCUCAUUGUAAGAUACUUUCGAAGAGUCGAGUUGUUUGGGAAUGCAGCUCUAAGUGGGAGGUAAAUUCCUUCUAAAGCUAAAUAUUGACGAGAGACCGAUAGCGAACAAGUACUGUGAAGGAAAGAUGAAAAGCACUUUGAAAAGAGAGUGAAAAAGUACGUGAAAUUGUUAAAAGGGAAGGGUAUUGAAUCAGACUUGGUGCUGUUGUUCAACUGUGUUUCGGCAUAGUGUACUCAGCAGUACUAGGCCAAGGUGGGGUGUUUGGGAGUGAAAAAGAAGUUGGAACGUAACUCUUCGGAGUGUUAUAGCCUACUUUCAUAGCUCCUCAGGCGCCUCAGGACUGCGCUUCGGCAAGGACCUUGGCAUAAUGAUUCUAUACCGCCCGUCUUGAACCACGGAC
rnacentral:rRNA from 1 species